ACGAACGCUGGCGGCAUGCCUAACACAUGCAAGUCGAACGAGACCUUCGGGUCUAGUGGCGCACGGUGAGUAACGCGUGGGAAUCUGCCCCGAAGUGAGGGAUAACUGCUCGAAAGAGUGGCUAAUACCGCAUGUGGUCUUCGGAUUAAAGCUUUAUGUGCUUCGGGAGGAGCCCGCGUAAGAUUAGAUAGUUGGUGAGGUAAUGGCUCACCAAGUCGAUGAUUUUUAACUGGUUUGAGAGGAUGAUCAGUCAGACUGGAACUGAGAAACGGUCCAGACUCCUACGGGAGGCAGCAGUUAGGAAUAUUCCACAAUGGGCGAAAGCCUGAUGGAGCAACGCCGCGUGGAGGAUGAAGGCCUUCGGGUUGUAAACUUCUUUUCUCUGUGAAGAAUAUGACGGUAACAGAGGAAUAAGGGUCUGCUAACUACGUGCCAGCAGCCGCGGUCAUACGUAGGACCCAAGCGUUAUUCGGAUUGAUUGGGCGUAAAGAGUUGCGUAGGUGGUUUGUUAAGCGAAUAGUGAAAUCUUGUGGCUCAACCAUAAGGCUAUUAUUCGAACUGGCAAACUCGAGAGUGGAAGAGGUAUCUGGAAUUUCUAAUGUAGGGGUAAUAUCCGUAGAUAUUAGAAGGAACACCAAUGGCGUAGGCAGGUUACUGGUCCAUUUCUGACACUAAGGCACGAAAGCGUGGGGAGCGAACCGGAUUAGAUACCCGGGUAGUCCACGCCGUAAACUAUGGAAUACUAGCUGUAUGAGGUAUCGACCCCGGUCAUGUAGCGAAGCUAACGCGUUAAGUAUCCGCCUGGGGAGUACGGUCGCAAGACUAAAACAUAAAGGAAUUGACGGGGACCCGCACAAGCGGUGGAGCAGUGUUCGUUUAAUUCGAUGGAUAAGCGAAGAACCUUACCAAGGCUUGACAUCCUAGGGAACAUCUGACUGAAAGUAGAGUAGUGCCUUUGGACCUAGUGACAGGUGAUGCAUGGCCGUCGUCAGCUCGUGUCGUGAGAUGUUUGGUUAAGUCCAUCAACGAGCGCAACCCUUAUGAAUUAGUUGGAUUUUUCUAUCAGACUGCCCCGGUAACGGGGAGGAAGGAGGGGAUGACUGUCAGGUCAUGUAUUCCCUUACGUCCCUGGGCUACAAACGUGAUACAAUGGCAGGUACAAUCGGCAGCUAAGUCGCGAGGUGAGCAAAUCGCAUCAAAGCCUGUCCCAGUUCAGGAUAUGCAGGCUGAAACUCGCCUCCUUGAAGUCGGAAUCGCUAGUAAUCGCAGGUUAGCAAACUGCGGUGAAUACGUUCCCGGGUCUUGUACACACCGCCCGUCAAACCAUGAAAGUGACCAACCCGAAGUCCGAUUCGUCGGCCUAAGGUGGGGGGCAUGAUUGGGGUU
rnacentral:rRNA from 1 species